GCGGCGCGGUUAGGGGGCGGGGCCGGGAGGAACCCGGGGCCGCGGGAAGGGCUCGGGUCGGGGGCCGGGCCCGGGGCGGCAGGGUCGGCGCCCAGCGGGCCUCUGCGGCAGCGGUGACCGCCGGCCGGCGCCGCCCGCAUCCCACCCGCCCGCUCUCCGUCCCUCGCGCCGCCCAGCGCUGGACUCUCGGGCCCCUGGUCCCGCUGAGCGCUGCCCUCGGAUGUCCGACCUCCCGGAGCCUGCAUGCGCCGCGGUGCGCCCCGGGGCCAGGAGCUGGUGGGUGCGGGGAGCCCUGGGCGGGGGCCCCGGGGCCGCCCUCCUCCCACCGUUGUCCCGGUGCUCGUCUUCCCCCCGGAUCUAGUGUUCAGGGCGGACCAGCGGAGCGGACCGCGGCAGCUGCUGACCCUCUACAACCCGACGGGGACCGCGCUCCGCUUCCGAGUGCUGUGUACGGCGCCCGCCAAGUACACGGUGUUCGAUGCAGAGGGACACGUGAAGCCGCAGUCGCGCAUUGACAUUGUGAUCCGGCACGUGGCCCCCAGCCCCAGCCACUAUGACGUCCAGGACCGCUUCCGCAUUGAGCUGUCGGAGGAGGGGGCCGAGGGGAGGGUGCUCGGCCGGAAAGACAUCACCUCGGUUCUCAGGGCGCCGGCGUGCCCCCUGGAGCUGCAGGCGCACCCCGAGCCGCGGCCCGCCGCAGGGCCGCCUGUGUCGGCGGGACCAGCCCCGGGCAGACCUCUUCCCGACAGUGAGUUGAACGGAUGCUUUGUGCGUGCGUUUGCCGUGUCGUGUACCCCGACUGUGUGAGCGCGUGCGUGUGGGCGCUUGUGCACAGGCGUGCCUGUUUGUGGAGGGGCCUGGUGUCUCCAGUCUCUCUCCACCUUUUCCGAGACAGAUGCACACUCACUUGGCUAGGCUGGAUGGCUGUUAGUCCACCGUCUCCGCCCCCCAAAGACUGGGCUUAUGGGCACACCGUGCCACGCCCAGGUUUUCAGGGUGCUCCCGGGGUCUGAGCUCAGGUCCUCAGGGUUGCGCUGUUUGGCCGUGUACCAGGCAAGCUCACUGCACUACUGAGCUCAGCCCCGCAGUGCGCGCACUCCGGAAUCCUGGAGGGACAGAAGUAGCACUAUCCAGAAACCAGCUUAGCUGGGUUUCAGGAGGCUCUGGGUUCCGGUGUCUCUGUGCGUGCGUGCAUGCAUGUGUGUGAGAAGGUGAUCUGGCUGACGUUUUCUGUCCGGUGAGAGAAGGCAUUGUCCGGCUCUCUCACUCGGAGUCAGAGGACACGUCUUUCCUCCUCGGUGCCCGUCAUCAGGUGCCCCUGGGAUCAGUUCAGCUGGAGACCUGUGCUGAGCAGUGAGCUCGUGUGCUGGGUGUGGGGGAUACAGGGUCCCCGCCUGUCUGCCCAGGAACCAAGAACACACUACUGGAGGCAGGAGGACGAGGAGACCAGAGGACAGAGGCGCCAAGGCGGACACCCCGGGGUCCCUGUAGAGAGCAGGGAAAUGUAAACACCAGCCAGUGUGGUGCAGGAGCCUGGGACAGCACCCUGGGGGCUGAGCCAGCACGGGGGCAGACUGCGGGUUCCAGACCAGCCGGCUACGGACCGCCCCCCAGCAGCUGGCCAGCAGCUCCUUCCUGCUCUUCCUGCUGACCGGCGUCGUC